rnacentral:rRNA from 1 species
AUGCGAGCUUAAGCCGUUAGGUGUAGGCGAAGCGAAAGCGAGUCUGAAUAGGGCGCAUGAGUUAGAUGGAUCAGACCCGAAACCGAGUGAUCUAGGCAUGGCCAGGUUGAAGGUUGGGUAACACCAACUGGAGGACCGAACCCACAUCCGUUGAAAAGGAUCGGGAUGAGCUGUGCCUAGGGGUGAAAGGCCAAUCAAACUCGGAGAUAGCUGGUUCUCUGCGAAAUCUAUUUAGGUAGAGCGUCAAUUGAAUACCCCGGGGGGUAGAGCACUGGAUGGGUAAUGGGGCCCCACAGGCUUACUGAUCCUAACCAAACUCCGAAUACCCGGGAGUACUGAUUGGCAGACACACGGCGGAUGCUAACGUCCGUCGUGGAGAGGGAAACAACCCUGACCUCCAGCUAAGGCCCCCAAUUCAUGGCUAAGUGGGAAAGCAGGUGGGACGACCAAAACAACCAGGAGGUUGGCUUAGAAGCAGCCAUCCUUUAAAGAUAGCGUAACAGCUCACUGGUCUAAACAAGUUGUCCUGCGGCGAAGAUGUAACGGGGCUAAAGUAAUGCACCGAAGCUUAGGGUUCAGAAUUUAUUCUGAGCGGUAGCGGAGCGUUCCGUAAGCGGAUGAAGCCGAAGGGUAACCG